rnacentral:rRNA from 1 species
AUGCACGCUGGCGGCGUGCCUCAUACAUGCAAGUCGAGCGAACAGACGAGGAGCUUGCUCCUCUGACGUUAGCGGCGGACGGGUGAGUAACACGUGGAUAACCUACCUAUAAGACUGGGAUAACUUCGGGAAACCGGAGCUAAUACCGGAUAAUAUAUUGAACCGCAUGGUUCAAUAGUGAAAGACGGUUUUGCUGUCACUUAUAGAUGGAUCCGCGCCGCAUUAGCUAGUUGGUAAGGUAACGGCUUACCAAGGCAACGAUGCGUAGCCGACCUGAGAGGGUGAUCGGCCACACUGGAACUGAGACACGGUCCAGACUCCUACGAGAGGCAGCAGUAGGGAAUCUUCCGCAAUGGGCGAAAGCCUGACGGAGCAACGCCGCGUGAGUGAUGAAGGUCUUCGGAUCGUAAAACUCUGUUAUUAGGGAAGAACAAAUGUGUAAGUAACUAUGCACGUCUUGACGGUACCUAAUCAGAAAGCCACGGCUAACUACGUG